GUGGCUCAGUUGGGAGAGCAUGGUCCUGUGUGGCUGUUGGUAGAGCAUGGUCCUGUGUGGCUCAGUUGGUAGAGCAUGGUCUUGUGUGGCUCAGUUGGUAGAGCAUGGUCCUGUGUGGCUCAGUUGGUAGAGCAUGGUCCUGUGUGGCUGUUGGUAGAGCAUGGUCCUGUGUGGCUGUUGGUAGAGCAUGGUCCUGUGUGGCUGUUGGUAGAGCAUGGUCUUGUGUGGCUGUUGGUAGAGCAUGGUCUUGUGUGGCUCAGUUGGUAGAGCAUGGUCCUGUGUGGCUGUUGGUAGAGCAUGGUCCUGUGUGGCUCAGUUGGUAGAGCAUGGUCCUGUGUGGCUGUUGGUAGAGCAUGGUCCUGUGUGGCUGUUGGUAGAGCAUGGUCCUGUGUGGCUGUUGGUAGAGCAUGGUCUUGUGUGGCUGUUGGUAGAGCAUGGUCCUGUGUGGCUGUUGGUAGAGCAUGGUCUUGUGUGGCUCAGUUGGUAGAGCAUGGUCCUGUGUGGCUGUUGGUAGAGCAUGGUCUUGUGUGGCUGUUGGUAGAGCAUGGUCUUGUGUGGCUCAGUUGGUAGAGCAUGGUCCUGUGUGGCUGUUGGUAGAGCAUGGUCCUGU